rnacentral:lncRNA from 1 species
CCCCCCAGUAGCCCCCCCGGCUCACCGUUCUCGGCCACGUUGCCCCACCCAGUAAGCCAGCAGGGGGUGCCGAAGGCGAAGGGGUAGCGGGGUUGGGGCAAGCAGAUGGUGCCCACCCGGGGGCCCAGGACCACCGGGGUCUCCAAGCGGGCUAGCGCCAGGUCGUGGCCACCUUCCACCUGCCGGUAGUCCUCGUGGACCACCACCUCGGCCACCGGGACUUCCUGGCCACUGGGCUCAUGGAGACGGAGCCGGCCCACCACCGCCCUCCAGGCCCCGGGGUCCGCGCGGCUCCCGUUGGGGCUGGGGGUGGUGGUGGGGGGGGGGGGACGGGGUUUUGGGUGGUCAAGUUGGGUUCGAGGUGGCCCAAUUUGGGUUCUAGGUGGCCCCCCAAAAGGAUCUGGGUGCCCCUAAGGGUUAUGGGUGACCCAAUCCCAGUUCCAGGUGUCCCAAUCCCAGUUCCAGGUGUCCCAAUCCCAGUUCCAGAUGUCCCAACCCCAGUUCUAGGUGACCCAAUCCCAGUUCCAGGUGACCCAAUCCCAGUUCCAGGUGUCCCAAUCCCAGUUCUAGGUGUCCCAAUCCCAGUUCUAGGUGACCCAAUCCCAGUUCCAGGUGUCCCAAUCCCAGUUCUAGGUGACCCAACCCCGGAUCUAGGUGGCCCAAUGGGGUUCUGGGUGGCCCAAUGGGGUUCUGGGUGGCCCAAUGAGGACCUAGCUGACCUAACAGGGUUCUGGGUAGCCCAAUGGGGUUCUGGGUGGCCC